rnacentral:rRNA from 1 species
AGAGUAAGCUAAUCUCUUAAAGCCGUUCUCAGUUCGGACUGUAGGCUGCAACUCGCCUACACGAAGUCGGAAUCGCUAGUAAUCGCGGAUCAGCAUGCCGCGGUGAAUACGUUCCCGGGCCUUGUACACACCGCCCGUCACACCAUGGAAGUUUGCAAUGCCCAAAGUCGGUGGCCUAACCAUUGGAGGGAACCGCCUAAGGCAGGACAGAUGACUGGGGUGAAGUCGUAACAAGGUACC